rnacentral:rRNA from 1 species
UUAGAGUUUGAUUCUGGCUCAGAUUGAACGCUGGCGGCAGGCCUAACACAUGCAAGUCGAGCGGAUGAAGAGAGCUUGCUCUCUGAUUCAGCGGCGGACGGGUGAGUAAUGCCUAGGAAUCUGCCUGGUAGUGGGGGACAACGUUUCGAAAGGAACGCUAAUACCGCAUACGUCCUACGGGAGAAAGCAGGGGACCUUCGGGCCUUGCGCUAUCAGAUGAGCCUAGGUCGGAUUAGCUAGUAGGUGAGGUAAUGGCUCACCUAGGCGACGAUCCGUAACUGGUCUGAGAGGAUGAUCAGUCACACUGGAACUGAGACACGGUCCAGACUCCUACGGGAGGCAGCAGUGGGGAAUAUUGGACAAUGGGCGAACGCCUGAUCCAGCCAUGCCGCGUGUGUGAAGAAGGUCUUCGGAUUGUAAAGCACUUUAAGUUGGGAGGAAGGGCAGUAAGUUAAUACCUUGCUGUUUUGACGUUACCAACAGAAUAAGCACCGGCUAACUUCGUGCCAGCAGCCGCGGUAAUACGAAGGGUGCAAGCGUUAAUCGGAAUUACUGGGCGUAAAGCGCGCGUAGGCGCUUCAGCAAGUUGGAGGUGAAAUCCCCGGGCUCAACCUGGGAACUGCCUCCAAAACUACUGAGCUAGAGUACGGUAGAGGGUAGUGGAAUUUCCUGUGUAGCGGUGAAAUGCGUAGAUAUAGGAAGGAACACCAGUGGCGAAGGCGACUACCUGGACUGAUACUGACACUGAGGUGCGAAAGCGUGGGGAGCAAAAAGGAUUAGAUACCCUGGUAGUCCACGCCGUAAACG